GAGAGUGGGUAGUCCGUACGAGCGCACCUUGUCCUUAUUUGCCAGCACGUAAUGGUGGGAACUCUAAGGAGACUGCCGGUGACAAACCGGAGGAAGGUGGGGACGACGUCAAGUCAUCAUGGCCCUUAUGACCAGGGCUACACACGUGCUACAAUGGAGCGUACAGAGGGUUGCUAAGCCGCGAGGUGGAGCCAAUCCCAGAAAACGUUUCGUAGUCCGGAUCGAAGUCUGCAACUCGACUUCGUGAAGUCGGAAUCGCUAGUAAUCGCGAAUCAGCAUGUCGCGGUGAAUACGUUCCCGGGCCUUGUACACACCGCCCGUCACACCAUGGGAGUGGGUUGCAAAAGAAGUGGCUAGUCUAACCUUCGGGAGGACGGUCACCACUUUGUGAUUCAUGACUGGGGUGAAGUCGUAACAAGGUAGCCCUAGGGGAACCUGGGGCUGGAUCACCUCCUU
rnacentral:rRNA from 1 species